GGUAGAGGGCGACUGCCUGUCUGGUUUGUCUCCAAAAAUGCCCAUAUCAUGCGCUUAAUUUACAUGACCGCCCCUUCGUCUUCUCCCAGGCUCCCAGCUCCCGUUACUCCUCUUCCACGCCGUAUUUUGCGAUUUGGCAGAAUCAAUCCGUGCGAUUCUCUUUUUCAACUCUCGCUUACCAGGCGAUCGAGAACGGUUAUUUGAAUUUAAAAGCGCAGGCGAGGUCCCAAGUUGUAUUGCUCGCUCAAGUUCGAGCAACAGUGAAUGCAGAUGCAAAAUUUCGGGCCAGCAUUGAGAAUUGCGCUGUAGGUACCCUUUCUACUUGGGACGCCUGCGCUGCAGGUACGCUCUCUAUGGAGUCUUG